rnacentral:rRNA from 1 species
CCUACGGGAGGCAGCAGUGGGGAAUAUUGCGCAAUGGGGGAAACCCUGACGCAGCAACGCCGCGUGAGUGAGGAAGGACUUCGGUCUGUAAAGCUCUGUUAAUGAGGAAAAAUGGUAGUUGGUCUAAUAGGCCGAUUAUUUGAUGGUACUCAUAGAGGAAGCACCGGCUAACUUCGUGCCAGCAGCCGCGGUAAUACGAAGGGUGCAAGCGUUGUUCGGAUUUAUUGGGCGUAAAGCGCGCGUAGGCGGACCUGCAAGUAAGAUGUGAAAUCUCGAGGCUCAACCUCGAAACUGCGUCUUAAACUACAGGUCUAGAAUCUCGGAGGGGGAAGGGGAAUUUCGCAUGUAGGGGUAAAAUCCGUAGAUAUGCGAAGGAACACCAGAGGCGAAGGCGCCUUCCUGGACGAGUAUUGACGCUGAGGCGCGAAAGCGUGGGGAUCAAACAGGAUUAGAUACCCUGGUAGUCCACGCUGUAAACGAUGAACACUAGGUAUUGGAGGAUUUGACCCCUUCAGUGCCGUAGCUAACGCGUUAAGUGUUCCGCCUGGGAAGUACGGUCGCAAGCUAAAACUCAAAUGAAUUGACGG